rnacentral:lncRNA from 10 species
CGAAAAACUGCUUGCGAUUAUUUAUGCAGAAUCAGUGGACUUUGUAUAAUUGGUGAAAAGUCCAAUUUUAUUUCUUUUACUGUUGUCUCUGUAUUAUUAAUUUUAUUCCUAUUGAUGCCAUUUUAGUGGAGCCAUAUGUGCUCACAGUUAUUAUUGAUUAUGACAGCAAGUCUUUUACCUUUGAGAAACCUAAAGGUGUUGAUGUUUACAACACUGUUACUGCCUUUUAACUACGAUUUUUUUUUCUAGUCCUACUUGCUACCAUGACACGCUAGUGUAUUUAACAUUUCGUUGGGCAUUGCAUUACCCGAGGGAGAACUAGUCACGCAAUGACUUUGGAUUGAAUGUGUGCUUUUCUUAGAAGGGCAAACAUCUCAUCUCAAGAUCCCACCGACAUAGGUUUCCUCUCCGUGGAAAAGCAGCUGUAAUGACUCAAAGAAAAAUCAAGAAAGAAGAUGAUAAAGUCCCACACUUGUUGAUCAUUGCCAACCCCACCAGAUGAGACAGAAAAUUUGAAGGUGACUGGAACGGAGAAGAAUGUCCUUCCUCAGUUAUGACAGUGGACAAAACAUCCAGACAGAAAAUCAAUAUGGAAACAUGGAAUUUAAUCUACAUUCUAGAGCAAAAGGAACUAACAGACCUGUACAGAACAUCGCAUAUACCACAUGCAGAAUACACACUCUACUCAAAAAUCAAUAGAGGCUCAUAGACCGAGGACUGCCUUGUCUCAGAUGGGACUUUGGACCUGGACUUUUGGGUUAAUGCUGCAAUGAGGUAAGACUUUGGGGGACUCUUGGAAGGCAUGAUUGGCUUUGAAAUGUGAGGGCAUGAGAUUUGGGAGGGGCCAGAGGUAGAGUGAAAUGGUUUGGCUCUGUGUCCCCACCGAAAUUUCACCUUGAAUUGUAAUAAUCCCCACGUGUUGUGGGAGGGACUCAGUGGGAUGUAAUUGAAUCAUGGGGGUGGGUUUCUUUGUGCUGUUCUCAUGAUAGUGAAUAAGUCUAAAAAGGAGAGUUCCCCUGCAUAUGCUUUCUUGCCUGCUGUCAUGUAAGUCAUCACUUUGGUCUUCCUUGAUCUUCAGCCAUGAUUGUGAGGCCUCCCCAGUCGUGUAGAACUGUGAGUCCAUUAAACCUGUUUCCUUUAUAAAUUACCAGUCUCACAUAUGUCUUUAUUAGCAGUAUGAGAAAGGACUGAUACACUAACAAAUUGUUUGUUAAAGUUAUAAAAAUGACACUUUCACCAAUGAAUAUGAAACUUCCAUUUGUUACAAAUCAAUUCCACAAUUUGUUUUUAUAUCUGUGUGUGCGUGUGUGUGUGUGCACGUGUCCACAGUGUGUUUUUAAUGCCACACAUUAGGUUCCCUGGAAAAUGGACUCUAGGAUGUAGAUUUGUAGUCAGGCACUCAUAAAAUCUUACCUCCUUUAUCUCUAAAGUAGGUUAGAUAGGAGAGGUUUGGGAAUAAAGGGAAGUUGAACAGAUUUUCAAGUACCAUAAAGGCCUCAGCCAAUAUUACAAGGUUACUCUGCAGCUGGGAAGGCACUUCAUAAUACUAUCUGUCUGGGAUGAGGGUGCUGGACCUUUGUAACCUGGAGACUUUGGACAAACUGUAUCUCUUCAGCAAAAAGGAAGCCCCAGAUAUGGAUUCAUCUAUGAGAUCUUCAUCAAGCACAGUGUAGGAGAAGCAUCACGAUGGCACAUCAUAACAAUCAUAUUCCACAUCUUUAUUCCUAAAAUUGUUUCUCAAUUCAAGUGAUUUCAUAGAAAAAGUUCUAGGAUUAUCCUCCAAGAUUCUAUUUGCCACUUUUCUUAGAAAAACCUUGCAAAAGAAAUGUAAAAUGAACUAAAGUUUAUGCCAUUCCAACUGCGUUCAAGGCUAUAAAUGAUACUCCUAGUCUACCUCCUCUCUCACUCAUUCUAGAUUACAUUGACUUCUGGUGGCAGUCCCGAGUAUCUAUGUUGUUAUCUGUAGGUUGAUGAAGAUUCUCAUUUCUUAGGUAUCUAAUCCCAAAUCAUCAUGCUUUUCUUGGAUCAUAGCUACUGCACUUUUUCAUUUACCUUGACAAUUUGUCAAAGGUUUAUUGAAAGAUUUCUAAGUUAUUAUCUUGGUACCAUACUCUACCCCUUCCCAUUGAGUAACAUCAGCCUGACUUCACUCUAAUGACUGGAGUCAAUUUUCCAAGCUAGGAUUGAGACUCUACUCUUUCCCUGUCCUGGUCCCUUGGCAUCUAGUUGCUGAUUUGACUGGGUGGCAUUAUAACUUGAAAUUUAAACAGAACUUUGUUAUGCAUUAUAAUUGAAACAUUAUCCCUCUAAGAGUCUAGACUUCCAAACUCCAGAGUCUAAAGUUGUAGAUCCAGUAUUCAGUCUCAUGAAUAUGGCCAUAGCUCCUACAUAUAUUUCUAAGGUAGGUCCUGUAGAAGUAUUAUCUUCUUUUUCACAUUUACUAUAA